CCGAGCCGCCCUCCCACGCAACGGACUACAGAGCCAAUUAGGCUGGGGUGGAGGAGCGCUAACAAGAGGGACUGGAGUUUCUAACCAAACCUGUAGCGCCUGGAGCCAACUUGAGUUUGAAGUCAGCUAGGACUGGGUCUGUAAGUGAAGCUGUACAUGAAGUGGGAGAGACCAAGGACAAACUGGAAACAUAUUUGCCUUCCAUGGCCUCCAGUCUUGAUGAGGCAGAUGACCUGCAGGAUAAGAUGACUCUCUUGACCCUGGAGCUGAACCACAGCCAGAAUCAGAGAAGCUGAACAAGACCUGGAGGAACUUAGAAGCCCCCAUUCUGUCCUACAACAAGUAAAAAGCUGAACAGACUGAAAAAUCAACUCUUCUAGGAUCCAUAAGAGAGGUGGGUAAAUGGUUGGAGAAAAAUAUACCAUGCUAACACUAGUCAAAAGAAAGCAAGACUAGCUAUAUUAAUUUUGUGCAGAGCAAACUUUAAAGUAAGGAACAUUAGGGAUGCCCUCUUUAGAGGGCAUUGCCUAUUGAUAAAGCAGUCAAUCCUUGUAGAAGAAAUAACAAUCCUUAACAUAUAUGUUCCCAACAACAGAGUGUCAAAAUACAUGAGGCAAAAACUGCCUUUAUCAGAAAUAGAUCCAGUAGGUAGAAAAAUCAGUAGGGACAUAGUUGAACUCAAUAAUCCAUCAAUCCAUUGGAUAUAACUGACAUCUACAGACCAUUUCAUCAAAAAAUAGUAGAUUACACAUUCUUUGCAAGCACAUAUGGAACAUUCACUGAGACAGACCACAUUCUGGGCUAUAUUUGUUAACAUGACUUAACAAAUUUAAAAGAAUAGAAAUCAUACAAUAUCUGCUCUCAGACCACAGUGGAAGUCAUAAUAAUAGAAAGAUGACUGGAAAAUUCCAAAAUAUGUACAGAAUCAAACAAUGUACUUUUAAAUAACACAUGGAUAAGAGAAGAAAUCUCAAGAGAAAUUUAAAAUAUUUUGGACUAGAUGAAAAUAAAAACACAAUUCAUCAAAAUUUGUGAGAUGCAACAAAAGUAGUGCUUUGAAUGAAAUUUAUAGCACUGAACGCAUACAUUAGAAAGAAGAAAGAUGGAAAAUAAAAAGUCUAAGUUUUUACUGUAAGAAACUAGAAAAAGGUCAAAUUAAAUUCAAAGUAUGCAAAUAAAAGAAAUAACAAGAAUUAGAGCAGAAAUCAAUGAAAUUGAAAACAAGAAAUCAACAGUGAGAAAAAAUGAAACCAGAAGCUGGCUCUUUGAAAAUCAACAAAAUCAAUAAGCCUCUAGCCAGGCUAAUUAAGAAAAAAAAGUGAAAGAGAGGAUACAGAUUACUAAUAUCAGAAAUCAAAAAGGAGACAUUACUGUACUCCCAAUGAACAUUAAAAGGUUAAUAAAGGAAUACUAUGAACAGUUCAAUGCCCAUAAAUUUUAUAACCUACAUGAAAUAGGCCAAUUUAUUGAAAGAUACAAUCUGCCAAAACUCACACAAGAAGAAAUAAUCUGGACAGAUGUAUAUUUAUUGAAAUAAUUGAAUCAAUAAUUAAUAACUUUCCAAAACUGGAAACAACAGGCCCAGAUGGGUUCACUGGUGAAUUCUGUCAAACAUUUAAGGAAGAAAUUAUGCCAGUUCUCUACAAUCUCUUUCAGAGUAUACAACAGAGGAAAUACUUCUAACCCAUUCUAUGAGGCCAACAUUACUGUAAUACCAAAACCAGACAAAGACAUUACAAGAAAAGAAAAAUACAAACCAAUAUCUCUCAUGAACAUAGAUGCAAAAAUUCUCAGUAAAAUAUUAGCAAAUCAAAUCCAUGGCCAAUUGGGAUUUAUCCCAGGUAUGCAAGGCUAAUUCAACAUUCAAAAAUCAAUUAGUGUAAUUCAUCACAUCAACAGGCUAAAAGCAAAAACAAAAACACAUGGUCAUAUCAAUAGAUACAGAAAAAGCAUUUGACAGAAGCCAAAAACCAUUCAUGAUAAAAACUCUUAGUAAACUAGGAAUGGAAGGAAACUUGCUCAAAUUGAUUAAAAAAUAUCUGUAAAAACCUUUAGCUAACACCAUACUUAAUAGUGAGAAACUUGAAUCUUUCCUACUAAGAUCAAGUACAAGGCAAGGUUGUCCCCUCUCAUCACUCAUUUUGACAUCGUAUUGGAAGUCCUAGCCAAUAAGAAAAGAAAAAGAAAUAAAAGUUAUACAGGCUGGGAAGGAAAAAACAAAACUCUCUUUCUUUGUGGUUGACAUAAUUGUCUAUGUAUAAAAUGCAAAAGAGUUAACAAUAACAUCAAAAACUCCUAGAACUAAUAAGUGAUUCGCAAGUUUUCAGGAUUCAAGGUUAAUAGACAAAAGUCAAUUACUUUUUUAUAUAUCAGCAAUGAACAAGUGGAAUUUGAAAUUUAAAACAAUAACAUUUGCCUUAGCACUCAGAAUAUGAAAUUUUUAGGUAUAAAUCUAACAAAAUGUGUACAAGAUCUGUGUAAAGAAAACUACAAAAUCCUGAUGAAUGAAAUCAAAGAACUAAAUAAAUAGAUACUCUAUACAUGGCUAGGAAGACUCGAUAUUGUAAAGAUAUCAGUUCUUCCCAACUUGAUCUAUAGACUCAAUGAAAUCCCAAUCAAACUCCCAGAAAGUUAUUUUUGAAUAUCAACAAACUGAUUCUAAAGUUUAAAUGGAGAGGUGAAAGACCCAGAAUAGCCAAAACAAUAUUAAAGGAGAAGAACAAGUUUGGUUAACUGACACUACCUGAUUUCAAGACUUACUAUAAAGCUGUAGUACUGAAGACAGUGUGAUAUUGGUAAAAGAAUAGACAAAUUAAUGGAACAGAAUAGAGAGCUCAGAAAUAGGUCCAGGUAAAUAUAAUCAGCUGAUCCUUGUCAAAGGAGCAAAGUCAAUACAAUGGAGUAAAGGUGGUCUUUUCAGCAAAUGGUGCUGGAACAACUGGACAUCCACAUGUGAAAAAUUGAAUAUAGACACAGAUUUGACAUCUUUCACAAAAUUAACUCCAAAUGGAUCAUAGACCUAAGUGUAAAACACAAAACUGUAGAACUAGAAGAUAACAUGGGAGAAAACCUAGAUGACCUCGGGUAUGAUGAUGACUUUUUAGAUACAACACCAAAGACAUGAUCCAUGAAAGAAGUAAUUGUUAAGUUGGACUUCAUUAAAAUUAAAAACUUCUGUUCUGCAAAAGACAAUGUCAGAGAAGACAAGCCACGGACUAGGAGAAAAUAUUUGCAAAAGACAUCUGAUAAAUGAGUAUUAUCCAAAACAUACAAAGACAGUAAAACUUAACAAUAAGAAAACAAACAACCACAUUAAUACAUGGGCCAAAGGCCUUGACACCUGAACAAGAAGAUAUACAGAUGCCAAAUGUUCACGUGAAAAGAUGCUUUACAUCAUGUGUCAUCAGGGAAAUGCACAUUUAACAAACAUGAGAUACCACUACACACUUAUUAAAAUGGCCCAAAACCAGAACACUGACAACACCAAAUCCUGGUGGGGAUGCGGACAACAGGAACUCAAAUUAAUUGCUAGUGGGAAUGCAAAAUGGUACAGUCAUUUUGCACAAUAGUUCUGCAGUUUCUUACAAAAUUAAACAUACCCAUAUGAUUGAGCAGUCGUGCUCACUGAUAUUUACCUAAAGGAGAUGAAAACUUAGGUCCACACAGAAACCUGCAUGUGAUUGUUUAUAACAGCUUCCUUCAUAAUUAACAAAAUUUGGAAGCAACCAAGAUGUCCUUAGGUAGGUGACUGUAUAAAUAAACUGUGGUACAGCCAGACAAUGGAAUAUUAUUUAGUGCUAAAAAGAAAGGAGCUAUCAGGCCAUGAAUAGACAUGGAGGAAACUUAAAUGCAUAUUACUAAGUGAAAGCAGCCAAUCUGAAAAGGCUACAUACUAUAUGGUUCCAACUAUAUGACAUUCUAAAAAAUACAAAACUAUGAAGAUAGUAAAAGGAUAGUAAAAAGAUCAGUGGUUUCUAGGGGUUAGAGUGGCGUCAAGUCAAGGGAUGAAAAGGCAAAGAACAGAGGACUUUUAGGGCAGUGGAACUAUUCCAUAUGAUACAAUAAUGAUGUAUACAUGUCCUUAUACAUUUAUCCAAACCUGUAGAAUGUGCAAAACCGAGAGUGAACCCUAAGGUAAACUGUGGACUUUGGAUGAUUAUGAUGUGUUAAUGUAGGUCCAUCAGUCGUAGCCACUCUCGUGGGAGAUGUUGAUAAUGGAGGAGGCUAUACAUGUGCAGGGAAGGAGGUAUAUGGGAAAUUCCUGUAUCUUCCCCCCAGUUUUGCUGUGAGCCCAAAACUGCUCUAAAAACUUGUCUUUUUUUUUUUUUUUUAUUAAAAAAAAGCACUUGGGUGAUCCACUUUGAUCAGAACAGUGGAUCUGGGACCAUUUUAGUCCUGUCCAAGGACCUUAGCUAAAUCCACGAGUCUCAGAUUCAUUUUCUCUGUCUUGCUACUAGCAAGGAUUUGGAGUGAUGAUUUUUGCAUUUGCCCUUAGGGCAUCUCUGCCUCCUGAGGAUUCUUUUUUGGCUUUCCUUUUGAAUUUCAGCAAGCUUUUUAAAAUAUAUAUAUAUUUUAGU